CAAUUAUCCUGAUUACAUCAAUGUCCACAUGUAUGAGAACGACUCUGACCAGCCUGAAGAACAGCACCAGGUUUACAGAGACCGAACGAAGAUGAAUGAAGACCUGCUGAAAACUGGAGACCUCAGUCUGACCCUGAAAUACCCCACAGAGAGAGACAGUGGGAGAUAUGUGUGUGGAGUUGACAGCGAGAGUAUCUGGAGAUACAAAACAGUGCAGCUUAACGUGAAAGGGAGAGUUCAGGUCCAGGAUCAAACAGGGGACAUCAGGAACAGAAGCAGCUCCAUUGAUCCGACUCCUCUGAUGGCUGAUCAAUCAGUUUGAUCUGUGUGUUCUUUGAUUAUUGAUCAGUGAUGUCAGAGUGGAGUCAGUGUGAUGUUGUUGUUGUGUGUUUGAGACUUUUAGUGUCCAUGAAGGUCUCUGCUGCCGUAGAUCCUCUGAACUGUGACAGAGGUCUCACUCUGGAGGAAACUCUCAGCACUUUCCAGCAGCUCCUCCAUCAUGGAGGACGUUCCCUCACUGUAACAGGUGGAGGAGAGAGGAGAGGAAGCACAGGUGGAUCCUCUGAGGAAGAGGAGCGUUCCUACAAACCACAUGAUCACAUGACCAGAGGGGCGUGGCCUUCAGUGGUAGUAAUAAAGGAACAGUCCACAUGUUCCACUUUGAAGGCUCAUCUCCAACAAAGCAGACCUGUGAUCACUUUAACUCAGUAUGAUGGAUUGUUUGGAUUUGUCUUUGUUUCUCUGGCUUUUCUUGUGUGUCUGUGUGUCUUUGUAUGUUGGAUAGAGUCAUGUGACCUGCCCAGGGACUACACAUGGAAAUGAGCAGUUUAGCUCAAAUCUGGCAGGUUUCCAUCUUCUGUUUUUAUCCUGAUGUCCAUGAACAUGAACUCUGUCCCUGUCAAAUAAAUCCAGAUACAAAGAUCAGAUCUACUGAGCUUCAUCAGCGUGUCAGCCGCUAACUGCAUCUUCAAAUAAAUAAAUGUGUCUGAUCAGCGGUGAUAAGAGGAGAGACGCUG
ensembl:lncRNA